AAAUCUAAAAGUGUAGGAAGAAUAUAUAUCAUAAGAAAGAUGAAUGAUAUUAAUUAUAAAUUACAUUGUAAAAGUAUGAUUAUUACAAAUGUAUGAUAAAUUACAUUGUAAAUAUAUGAUUAAUUUGACAGUAAUUGAAGCAAGUGUAAUCAAAAAUUUUCCUUUGGAAUUUGGAAAAAUCAUGUAACGGGAAAUAAUUUCAAAGUUCUUAGUUAUUAAGGUCUUAAAUGUUCAGGGUUGUAAGAGUUAUUCUUCUCUCAAACUGGAGUAUAACUUCCAUAGGCAAGGAUUAUGUUCUUCAACUCUUUGUCUUUUCCCCUAGUGUGUCUAUGACGAUGGGAUAUGUGCAGGCAUAAUCAAUAAAUGCUUGUUACUUGCCUCCUUUAACGGUGCUGUUUUUAGCAAAAAUUUCCUUUGUUAAUUUUUGCCCUGUUUUUGGCCAGAUUCUGAGAAUUAAAAUUACUUUUCAUUAGGCACAUUAUUGA
rnacentral:lncRNA from 1 species